UACGUAGGGGGCAAGCGUUGUCCGGAAUUAUUGGGCGUAAAGAGCUCGUAGGCGGUCUGUCGCGUCGGCUGUGAAAACUCGGGGCUCAACUCCGAGCUUGCAGUCGAUACGGGCAGGCUAGAGUGCGGCAGGGGAGACUGGAAUUCCUGGUGUAGCGGUGAAAUGCGCAGAUAUCAGGAGGAACACCUGCGGCGAAGGCGGGUAGCUGGGCCGACACUGACGCUGAUGCGCGAAAGCCAGGGGAGCGAACGGG
rnacentral:rRNA from 1 species